ACUGGCAUAAGGCUGCACACUUGCCCUACUCAAAACAACUUGAUAUGGAGGACAGUGGAACAAGUGGCUCUCUUUCAUUCUCUGGCACCACAAGAAGGAAACUCCAACUUUUGUUGCAUCUUUGUGAGUUGAAUGACCUCCAUGCUCGAAACAAAGAAGUGCUUCUUUACUUCUGCCUCAUAACAUUCGUCUCUUCAUUUAAGAAAAAUGGAACCUCACAAUAAUCCUGUGAGGAAGUUACUAUAGGUAUUAUCAUUCAUAUUUGAUAAAUAAGGAAAUUGAGACUCAAAGAGAUUAUGUGACCUGACCAUUGUCAUACAACUAGUAAAGUAAAUCUAUUUCUA